rnacentral:rRNA from 1 species
AGCGAACGCUGGCGGCAGGCCUAACACAUGCAAGUCGAACAAAGUCUUCGGACUUAGUGGCGGACGGGUGAGUAACACGUGGGAACGUACCUUUUGGUUCGGAACAACUCAGGGAAACUUGAGCUAAUACCGGAUGAGCCCUUAGGGGGAAAGAUUUAUCGCCGAAAGAGCGGCCCGCGUUAGAUUAGCUAGUUGGUGAGGUAAAGGCUCACCAAGGCUACGAUCUAUAGCUGGUCUGAGAGGAUGAUCAGCCACACUGGGACUGAGACACGGCCCAGACUCCUACGGGAGGCAGCAGUGGGGAAUCUUGCGCAAUGGGCGAAAGCCUGACGCAGCCAUGCCGCGUGAAUGAUGAAGGUCUUAGGAUUGUAAAAUUCUUUUACCAGGGACGAUAAUGACGGUACCUGGAGAAAAAGCCCCGGCUAACUUCGUGCCAGCAGCAGCCGCAGUAA